GUCGACCACACCUCUGCUGGACAAACAGGAUACUGAUGUGAUGGCGAGCGAGGAGAGGAGAAAAGAGGGGAGUAAGUCAAGAGUUGGAGUGACUUUCGGAGACAGAACAAAGAGGAGAGACAUCCUUGAGGUUGACAUCGAUGUGGAGAACUAAUCUGCCUGCGGGCGGUGAUUCAGACCCAAGGCAAGAACCGCCGUGUCAAAACUGUUCCCUGAGAGAAAAAGAGAAGGAGAGUGGAGAAACAGCAGCAGGAC